AUUGAACGCUGGCGGCAGGCCUAACACAUGCAAGUCGAGCGGAUGAAGGGAGCUUGCUCCUGGAUUCAGCGGCGGACGGGUGAGUAAUGCCUAUGAAUCUGCCUGGUUGUGGGGUAUAACGUCCGGAAACGGGCGCUAUUACCGCAUACGUCCUGAGGCUGAUAGUGGUGGAUCUUCGGUCCUCACGCUAUCUGAUGUCCCUAGGUCGGAUUAUCGAGUUGGUUGGGUAAAGUCCUACCAAGGCGACGAUCCGUAACUGGUAUGAGAGGCUGAUCAGUCACACUGGAACUGAGACACGGACCAGACGCCUACGGGAGGCAGCAGUGGGGAAUAUUGGACAAUGGGGGAAAGAAUGAUAAAGCAAUGCCGCGGGUGUGAAGAAGGUCUUCGGAUUGUAAAGAACUUUAAGUGGGGAGGAAGGGCAGUAAGUUAAUACCUUGCUGGUUUGACGUUACCAACAGAAUAAGCACCGGCUAACUACGUG
rnacentral:rRNA from 1 species